UGGGGAAUAUUGGACAAUGGGCGCAAGCCUGAUCCAGCCAUGCCGCGUGAGUGACGAAGUCCUUAGGGUUGUAAAGCUCUUUUGGCGGGGAAGAUAAUGACGGUACCCGCAGAAUAAGCUCCGGCUAACUUCGUGCCAGCAGCCGCGGUAAUACGAAGGGAGCUAGCGUUGUUCGGAAUCACUGGGCGUAAAGCGCACGUAGGCGGACUUUCAAGUCAGGGGUGAAAUCCCGGGGCUCAACCUCGGAACUGCCUUUGAUACUGUUGGUCUCGAGUCCGGAAGAGGUGAGUGGAAUUCCUAGUGUAGAGGUGAAAUUCGUAGAUAUUAGGAAGAACACCGGUGGCGAAGGCGGCUCACUGGUCCGGUACUGACGCUGAGGUGCGAAAGCGUGGGGAGCAAACA
rnacentral:rRNA from 1 species